rnacentral:rRNA from 1 species
GACGAACGCUGGCGGCGUGCUUAACACAUGCAAGUCGAGCGAGAUCCAUCCAGUGGCAACACUGGUGAAGAUCUAGCGGCGAACGGGUGAGUAACACGUGAGCAACCUGCCCCGAAGACCGGGAUAACAGCGGGAAACCGCUGCUAAUACCGGAUGCCCUCACCGGGCCGCAUGACCUGGUGAGGAAAUGGCUGAGUCUUAAUAAACUCAGUCCGCUUCGGGAGGGGCUCGCGGGCUAUCAGCUUGUUGGUGAGGUAACGGCUCACCAAGGCUACGACGGCUAGCUGGUCUGAGAGGACGACCAGCCACACUGGGACUGAGACACGGCCCAGACUCCUACGGGAGGCAGCAGUGGGAAUCUUGCGCAAUGGGCGAAAGCCUGGCGCAGCAACGCCGCGUGGGAGAUGAA